UGAGCAAUCUGCCCUUCUCUUCGGAAUAAGCGUUGGAAACGACGUCUAAUGCCGAAUACGACCUCCUUUCGCAUGAUCGGAGGUGGAAAGCUCCGGCGGAGAAGGAUGAGCUCGCGGCCUAGCAGCUAGUUGGUGUGGGUAAUGGCCCACCAAGGCGACGACGGGUAGCCGGCCUGAGAGGGUGACCGGCCACACUGGGACUGAGACACGGCCCAGACUCCGUACGGGAGGNAG
rnacentral:rRNA from 1 species